rnacentral:lncRNA from 1 species
CAGAUCAAGACAGAGUUGGAAAAAGCUUGCCCUGGCGUAGUUUCUUGCGCUGAUAUUCUUACCCUUGCAGCUGAAGUAUCUUCUGUUCUGGUAUGUCUCAUUUUAGGUCAAAGAAAAAAACUUAGAUCAACUUCUUUUGUUACAUCCUUUUUUAUCAAGUUGUCCAAUCAAAUAACAACAAAUAAAUGUUUAUAUAUUGCAACAUAUAUUUAAUAGAGGUUGUUUAUUAUUAGAAAGAAUAUUCAUGUAUCAUUUGACAGGCUCAUGGUCCUUAUUUGAAAUUUCCCUUGGGAAGGAGGGAUAGUUUAACAGCAAAUAGAACCCUUGCGAAUCAAAACCUUCCUGCUCCUUUCUUCAACCUCACUCAACUUAAAGCUGCCUUUGCUGUUCAAGGCCUUGACACUACCGAUCUUGUUGCACUCUCAGGUAAUAAAUAUUCCCCAAUUCAAAUUAUCCUAUGUGUUGCAACAAUUAAUGCUACCUAUAAUAACAACAACAAUAAAACACCUAUAGUUGAUCCGAGUAGAAUUGGACUCAGAUCCUUUAAAUAAGAUCUCGAGUUUAAAUCUUAUAAAAAAAAUAUGAUUAAAAAGAAAAAUGUCACUAUUCUUAAUAGGGAUUAGAUAUUAAAAAAAAAUGAUGAAUACUUCGUAGUUCGCAUCAAUAUCACACUAAUGAAAAAAAAAUCUUAGAAAUUCAGGGUAAGAUAUAAGAUAUUGGAUUUACUGGUGAACACAUUAACAUUACUCUAAAUUCACCAUCUUAACUUGGUUUGACUUUGGAAGAAUUCAUCUUAUGAAAAUGAUGGACUAGUAUAUGAUUUGUAUAUGAUUCAAUUUCAGGAGCUCAUUCAUUUGGCAGAGUUCGCUGCUUAUUCAUUCUUGACCGAUUGUACAAUUUCAGUGGUACUGGCAGACCCGAUCCAACUCUUGACACAACUUACUUAAAACAAUUGCGCCAAAUAUGCCCCCAAGGUGGGCCCCCUAACAACCUUGUCAAUUUUGACCCAACCACUCCUGAUACAUUGGACAAGAACUACUACUCCAAUCUUCAGGUUAAGAAGGGUUUGCUUCAGAGUGAUCAAGAGUUGUUCUCAACACCUGGUGCUGAUACCAUCAGCAUUGUCAACAAAUUCAGUAGUGACCAAAUAGCUUUCUUUAAGAGCUUUUCGGCUUCCAUGAUUAAAAUGGGAAAUAUUGGUGUGCUAACUGGGAAGAAAGGAGAAAUCAGAAAACAAUGUAACUUUGUUAACAAGAAAUCUGCGGAACUUGAUAUAGGUAGUGUGGCAUCCGAAUCAGAAGAGGGUCUGGUUAGCUCAAUAUGAAUGAAUUAGGAAGAGUUUUAUAUACACUAGGAAAUCAUGUGAUUGAAGGUUACCAAUAAAG